rnacentral:tRNA from 2 species
AGAAAAGUAAGCUAAAUAAGCUAAUGGGUUCAUACCCCAUAAAUAGAGUAAACAACUCUCUUCUCUG